rnacentral:tRNA from 1 species
GCCCAGGUGGCGGAAUUGGCAGACGCACUACUUUGAGGUGGUAGCGAGGCAACUCGUGCAGGUUCAAGUCCUGUCCUGGGCA